GCUAAGUUUACUUUGUCUUCUUCGUUAGUUCGUUGAUUGCCAAAAAAAAAAUUUUGCAUCUUUUCAACCACCCUAAAGGAUCUCCAACACCAUCAUAAGUGGGAAAUUCCAUCUUAGAGUAUCGUGGCACCAUGCACCCACCGUGUUGCAGGUCUAAAUUCCUUUUUCUGCCUCCGCUGCUGCCCUGUUCUUCAUUAUUCUUCUCUGAAUCUCCUUUCGUUAUCUUUUGGACUGAAAGAGAUAAUAUUGCCACCUGCUCCUCUAAUGCUUGUUGCCUUGUAUCCAUUUGUUCCAUGAAAGCCUCCAGCUUGGCUAUCAAAGUCUUUUCGUGUAAUGGCCCAAAUUUGAGGUUAUCGGAACAGUGGUUUCGGGACCACAAAUCCGAUGAGAAAAAUUUUAUUUUUCUUAUAUUUUUAUGGUCUACAAUUUCACAAAAUGAUUUCGUGAAAAUUUCGUUCGAAAAUUUCGACGUUUGGGCACUCAAUUUAGUCAAAAGGACUAAAUUGUAAAAAGUGCAAAAGUUGAGUUCUACAUGUUAGAGGUGUCCAAUUGUUAUGAAACUUUAAAUUGGAGGUCCUUAUAUGGUAAUUAUACCAUUGGUAACUUGGUAGACAAAAAUGGACAUGAGAUAAGUGAAAUAGAAAAUUUUUAAGUUAGGGGCAAUUUGGUAAUCUAGUAAUUAAAAUGAAUUAAAAGGGAAAAAGAUGGCAAAUUAUGCUCAUCUUCUUCAUUAGGACGAAAUCAGCAAGGGGGGAAGCCAUAGUUAGGGUUUUCAAGCUUCCAAGCUCCAUAAUCAAGAAGUACGAAACUCGAGGUUAGACAAAGGGAAGAAUAAAGUUGAAGACUAAGUUGGUGAAUUUGGCUAUAAUUGGUACCGAGUAUUACAAGGCUACUUCAAGGAUCCUAAAGAAGUCGGAGAUCGUCCACACUAUCAACCACAACUGCUCGGUAUUUUAUGUCGAAACACGUUUGAGUUAUGGCAUGUAUAGGGAUUUAGUUAUUCUAAAUGUUUGUAUUUAUGAUCUUGCUAAAGAAUGAUGUGUAAGUAUUUGAUGAUGAAUGGUUGCUAAAAUGGUUAAGUAUGGAAGUGUUUGUUGUUAUAAAAGUUUAGGUGAUAAACUAUGAAUGGAAAUCAUAAAAGGGUAAAAUUUUGCAAAGAAACAGAAUUCAGACAGCACUGUGACGUGACUUUGAAAAAUCACCUAGGAUGGUAUAAAAUGAAUUAGAGGAUGAAUGAUAUAUGGAAUUAAAGCUUGUUGGGUCUAUUUUCAUGGAAAAAUAACAGUGUAGCAAAAGGAAAUUUAUAUUUUAAGAUAUGUGAAUUUUAGUAAGAUAGGAUCAGAACUGUUUUUGGAGUCCCCUGUUCUGAGUUUAGAAAAUAAUUAAAAAUUAUACAAAAAUGGUUAUGAGUUGAAAUUUACAUGCUUAGAUUCCUUAAUGAGUCUAUUUUCUGUAGGAACAAGUGGG